CAGGGAUUACCUCAGUAACGGCGAGUGAAGCGGUAACAGCUCAAAUUUGAAAGCUAGCUCUUUUAGGGUUCGCAUUGUAAUUUGUAGAAGAUGCUUCGGGUGUGGCCCCGGUCUAAGUUCCUUGGAACAGGACGUCAUAGAGGGUGAGAAUCCCGUAUGUGACUGGGUGCUUUCGCUCAUGUGAAGCUCUUUCGACGAGUCGAGUUGUUUGGGAAUGCAGCUCAAAAUGGGUGGUAAAUUUCAUCUAAAGCUAAAUAUUGGCCAGAGACCGAUAGCGCACAAGUAGAGUGAUCGAAAGAUGAAAAGCACUUUGGAAAGAGAGUUAAACAGUACGUGAAAUUGUUGAAAGGGAAGCGCUUGCAACCAGACUUGCGCGCUGAUGAUCAUCCGGGCUUCUGCCCGGUGCACUCGUCUGCGCUCAGGCCAGCAUCGGUUUCGGUGGUGGGAUAAAGGCCUUGGGAAUGUGGCUCCUCUCGGGGAGUGUUAUAGCCCUCGGUGCAAUGCCGCCUACCGGGACCGAGG
rnacentral:rRNA from 1 species